rnacentral:rRNA from 1 species
CAGUCGCCACGGUAAUACGGAGGAUCCAAGCGUUAUCCGGAAUCAUUGGGUUUAAAGGGUCCGUAGGCGGUCUUGUAAGUCAGUGGUAAAAGCCCAUCGCUCAACGGUGGAACGGCCAUUGAUACUGCAGGACUUGAAUUAUUGGGAAGUAACUAGAAUAUGUAGUGUAGCGGUGAAAUGCUUAGAGAUUACAUGGAAUACCAAUUGCGAAGGCAGGUUACUACCAAUUGAUUGACGCUGAUGGACGAAAGCGUGGGUAGCGAACAGGAUUAGAUACCCCGGUAGUCCCUGUCUCUUAUAC